UACGUAGGCACCAAGCGUUGUCCGGAUUUAUUGGGCGUAAAGAGCUCGUAGGCGGUUGGGUAAGUCGGGUGUGAAAACUCCAGGCUCAACUUGGAGAUGCCACCCGAUACUGCUCUGACUUGAGUUCGGUAGGGGAGUGGGGAAUUCCUGGUGUAGCGGUGAAAUGCGCAGAUAUCAGGAGGAACACCGGUGGCGAAGGCGCCACUCUGGGCCGAAACUGACGCUGAGGUGCGAAAGCGUGGGGAGCAAACAGG
rnacentral:rRNA from 1 species